rnacentral:rRNA from 1 species
GAUCCAGCCAUACCGCGUGUGUGAAGAAGGCCUUCGGGUUGUAAAGCACUUUAAGCAGGGAGAAAAAGUUAUAAGUUAAUACCUUAUAACCGUGAUGUUACCUGCAGAAUAAGCACCGGCUAAUUCCGUGCCAGCAGCCGCGGUAAUACGGAAGGUGCAAGCGUUAAUCGGAAUUACUGGGCGUAAAGCGCGCGUAGGUGGUUUGUUAAGUUGGAUGUGAAAGCCCUGGGCUCAACCUAGGAACUGCAUCCAAAACUAACUCACUAGAGUACGAUAGAGGGAGGUAGAAUUCAUAGUGUAGCGGUGGAAUGCGUAGAUAUUAUGAAGAAUACCAGUGGCGAAGGCGGCCUCCUGGAUCUGUACUGACACUGAGGUGCGAAAGCGUGGGUAGCGAACAGGAUUAGAUACCCUGGUAGUCCACGCCGUAAACGAUGACAACUAGCUGUUGGGAGACAAUGUCUUUCAGUGGCGCAGCUAACGUUUUAAGUUGUCCGCCUGGGGAGUACGGCCGCAAGGCUAAAACUCAAAUGAAUUGACGGGGACCCGCACAAGCGGUGGAGCAUGUGGUUUAAUUCGAUGCAACGCGAAAAACCUUACCUACUCUUGACAUCCUUGGAACCUUUUGUAAUGAAAGGGUGCCUUUUGGAACCAAGUGACAGGUGCUGCAUGGCUGUCGUCAGCUCGUGUCGUGAGAUGUUGGGUUAAGUCCCAUAACGAGCGCAACCCUUACCCUUAUUUGCCAGCGGUUCGGCCGGGAACUAUAAGGGAACUGCCGGUAAUAAGCCGGAGGAAGGUGGGGACGACGUCAAGUCAUCAUGGCCCUUACGUGUAGGGCUACACACGUGCUACAAUGGGGAGUACAGAUAGACGCUAAAGCGCGAGCUGGUGCUAAUCUCAUAAAACUCUUCGUAGUCCGGAUUGCAGUCUGCAACUCGACUGCAUGAAGUCGGAAUCGCUAGUAAUCGCGAAUCAGCAUGUCGCGGUGAAUACGUUCUCGGGUCUUGUACACACCGCCCGUCACACCAUGGGAGUGUAUUGCACCAGAAGUGGGUAGUCUAACCUUCGGGAGGGCGCUCACCACGGUGUGGUCCAUGACUGGGGUGAAGUCGUAACAAGGUAGCCGUAGGGGAACCUGUGGCUG